CCGCCACUAGCUCAUCGGGAAGAGCGGCAACUAAAUGUUGUAGUACGAGGUUCGAGGCCCCGCUGGCGGACCA
rnacentral:tRNA from 2 species